AGCGAACGCUGGCGGCAGGCCUAACACAUGCAAGUCGAACGAACCUUUCGGGGUUAGUGGCGGACGGGUGAGUAAUACGUGGGAACGUGCCUUUAGGUUCGGAAUAACUCAGGGAAACUUGUGCUAAUACCGAAUGUGCCCUUCGGGGGAAAGAUUUAUCGCCUUUAGAGCGGCCCGCGUCUGAUUAGCUAGUUGGUUGAGGUAAUGGCUCACCAAGGCGACGAUCAGUAGCUGGUCUGAGAGGAUGAUCAGCCACAUUGGGACUGAGACACGGCCCAAACUCCUACGGGAGGCAGCAGUGGGGAAUCUUGCGCAAUGGGCGAAAGCCUGACGCAGCCAGGCCGCGUGAAUGAUGAAGGUCUUAGGAUUGUAAAAUUCUUUCACCGGGGACGAUAAUGACGGUACCCGGAGAAGAAGCCCCGGCUAACUUCGU
rnacentral:rRNA from 1 species